CGCCUCACUCCUCGCACUCGCUCCCCGUAGCGUUCGCAUCUCGUGAGUCGUCUCGCCAUGGCCGCGUCCUCCCUGCUCCGCUCGCUCUCCCGCGUCUCGCGCCGCGGCUGCGCGCCCGCGUUCUACGGCCGCGGCCCGCUCUCGCCGCUCUCGACCGCCGCGGCUGCAGCGGCGUCCGACGCGGGGGAUGCUGCGGUGCUGCGGAGGGGGCUCGCGGGGCUGGGGCCGACGGCCAAGGGGGAGAAGCCGCGGGUGGUGGUGCUCGGGACGGGGUGGGCGGGGUCGCGCCUCAUGAAGGACCUCGACACCACCGGCUACGACGUCGUCUGCGUCUCCCCGCGCAACCACAUGGUCUUCACGCCGCUGCUCGCCUCCACCUGCGUCGGCACGCUCGAGUUCCGCUCCGUCGCCGAGCCGCUCGCGCGCAUCCAGCCCGCCGUCUCCACCUCCCCCGGCUCCUACUUCCUCCUCGCCCGCUGCACCGCCGUCGACCCCGACGCGCACACGAUUGAUUGCGAGACAGUCACUGAAGGUGAGAAAGAUACCUUGAAGCCGUGGAAAUUCAAGGUUUCGUAUGACAAGUUGGUCUUUGGAUGUGGAGCUGAGGCAUCGACUUUCGGUAUACGUGGUGUUACUGAACAUGCAACCUUUCUUCGGGAAGUUCAUGAUGCUCAAGAGAUCCGCAGGAAGCUCCUUCUGAAUCUGAUGCUGUCUGAUGUACCUGGCAUAUCAGAGGGCGAGAAGCGCAGACUAUUGCACUGUGUUGUUGUUGGAGGUGGUCCAACAGGGGUUGAAUUUAGCGGGGAACUUAGUGAUUUCAUCAUCAGAGAUGUGAAAGAACGUUACUCACAUGUGAAAGAUUAUGUCCAUGUGACCCUGAUUGAGGCAAAUGAGAUAUUGUCAUCCUUCGAUGUUCGCCUGAGGCAGUAUGCUAUAAACCAACUAGUUAAGUCAGGUGUUAGGCUUGUACGAGGAAUCGUGAAGGAUGUACAACCUGACAAAUUAAUCCUGGACAAUGGAGAGGAGGUUCCUUAUGGUUUGCUGGUAUGGUCUACUGGAGUUGGUGCUUCAUCAUUCGUCAAGUCAUUGCCAUUUCCUAAGUCACACGGAGGAAGGAUCGGUGUAGAUGAGUGGUUACGUGUUCCUUCUGUCCCAGAUGUAUUCGCUGUUGGUGAUUGCUGUGGUUUCCUUGAAAGCACCGGCAAGGAAGUUCUCCCAGCCUUAGCGCAGGUUGCCGAGCGGCAAGGCUUGUACCUUGCUCGCCUGCUCAACCGUGUGAUGAAGGCUGGAGGAGGGCACGCAAAUUCCCAGGUCGAAGCCGAUCUAGGUCCAAAGUUUGUGUAUAAGCAUCUAGGGAGUAUGGCAACCGUUGGAAGGUACAAAGCUCUGGUGGACCUGAGGCAAAGCAAGGACUCGAAGGGCAUAUCCAUCGCAGGAUUUGCAAGCUGGUUCAUCUGGCGCUCAGCAUACCUGACUCGUGUUGUCAGCUGGAGAAAUAGGCUCUAUGUGGCUAUCAACUGGCUGACCACGAUGAUAUUCGGCCGUGACAUAAGCCGUAUCUAGGGUAUCGAUCUGUAGAUCUUUGGGCUCUGAACUGUAUGAGUUCGAUACAACAUAUAGGCCACGAACACUAAAAGAAACAUAGGUCUUGAUCACAUUGCAUCUUUUUCCCCCUCCUGCUCCUCUCUUUAUCCCUUUCAGACUUGUCAGCCACGUGAGUUCCAAAUGCACAAUCUUUUUUUUUUGUAAAUUAUGAAUAAAUGAGAUGCAAUUUGAUGGUCUUCAAGUUACUUGGUGUGUAGACGAUGAAUACUUAUGCAACUGUAGUUUCUUUGCUCAGGAACUAGUGAUCGGUCUCCAAGAACCUCACUAUACACGUUGUAAACGUCCGGCGAAUAAAUGCAAAACCAAGAUAAUGGAAGAUAAUAUCAGAAAGACUACACGAACCAGCAAAUGAAACAAUGCCGUAGUCAGGUGUUUCUUUAGAGGUUCCAUUUCCAGUUUGUUGUUUCCUAUACCACGUUUUAACUUGCUCUCAUGAGAAAAAGAACUUCUAUUAACAUUGCGAAAAUGAUGAGUUGGCUUGCUGCCAGAACUAUCAGUGAAUGAAAUAUAUGCUUUUGAGAGUAACUUAUGUUGGAGGAUAAAUGAGCAUAAAAGAUCAGGCUUGGCUUCUCAAGCAACAAAGGCAACAUUUCCAUCCAUUUUCUGGGUAUUUCAUAUACUAUCCUAUAUAACCUCUCAGUUUGAUACUUUGAUGACCAGAGUUUCUAUGAAUUAUAAGCAGUACAUAGAAAUCUCAUUGCUCUGAAUGCACAUUUUGGCAUCCAAUCAACAGGGGAAAUUUCAUCCCACAACAACCCUCCACAUUUGGCUUGACCAACAGUUUGACAGACUAAUGAGGUACAACAGGCCCCAGGGGGACUAAACAGAACCAUUCUAGUAAACAAAUGGAAAGGGAAAAAACAUUGUUACACUACAACACAGCAGAUACCAUCCAAAGAAACGAAAUGGAAUAACUGGAAUCAGAACCAUGAAGUCCAAAGAAACUCCGCGACCGAGAAGGUCUACAUCCUCCGCCUCUUGUUGCGCUGUGGGGGGGCACCAUCCACAUCUAAAGAAGCCAACGCGCUGCUCCUCCCCCUCCUCAGGGUUCUCGAAGAACCUGCGUUACUAGGCUCUCCCGCCGUCUCAGAAACACCUGCAUCCCCCUGUAUCACUGCAAUGGUGCUCGAGUUUGAUGCUUGGUCUGUAGAAGGUGCUGCACCAACAUGGGUUCCGUCAACUGUUGCCUCGGGAUUCAAAGGGUUCGGCGAUGAAGCAGAUGCUCCGUAUUGGCCAGGUGUAGCUAACCUUCUAAGGUAUGAAGCAGAUGCUCCGUGUUGGCCAGGUGUAGCUAUCCUUCUAAGGUCACUCAUGGCAGUUGCCAAUCUUUCUGUAUUUGCAAUGCCAAUAAGAGUAAGCCGUUGCAACAAAUCAAAUCCUUCUGGUAAAACCGGGCUUGAACCAUCUCUAGGUGCAUCUGGCGCACUAUUUCCAGGCAGACCACUAUCAGGGGCAGCAAAAGCACCAUCAGGAGAGUUAUCUACCUCGCUCAGCAACCGUCUUGCUCUCAUCCUUGUGGUCAAUCUACUUAGGCGGCCAGUGUGUGGAGCAACGUCACCUGUUUCAUGCACAGCAGGUUCAGACGGGCCUUCGAAUCUACUCACACUACUCAUGAUCUGUUGAUCAAGAAGGCGCCUCCAUGAUGACAGUAUCCCAUGUGCGUCACCAAGCCUUCUUGACAUUGGGCGUAAGUGCUGAAACUGCUGCCGGAAACUUUCAAGACGAUUUCCAUGUGGCCUUGGUGGGAUUGUAAGACCUGGCUGCUUGCCUUCAUCCGCAGCCUUCUCUGCAUCUGAACAAGAAUUCCCUCUGCCAUAGAUAGGAGUGAUAUUAGCCUCCGUCACCUCGCCCUUGCAGACUGGGCAUUCCUUGUGGUUGGAGUAGACAUUAAGCCAUUGGUAUAAGCAAGGCCAGCAGAAGAGAUGGCCACAAGAAGUGACCACCGGCUCUCCGGCCAUAUCAAAGCAUAUGUUGCACUCAAAUGUGGCGACGCUCUUGCCCCGCUCCUCCGACUCCUCUGAGGCACCUACUUCUACUCCAUUGCCGGUUACCUUAUCAUCUCCAACGAUAUCAAUUGCCACCUCAUGAUGUGGCACCGGCACUGCUGCAUCAUGCCCUAGAGGUUGAACCUCGGAGCUGAGCGGUGGAAGGUCCGAUCUAAACCGCCCAGUGGGCCUAGAGCGGAGCCACCGGCUUCCUGUCUGCUCAAGCAGCCGCCUGUACCUUGUUGCAGCGUCAGGGAGGAAGGAGGAGGAGGCCGUCGAUGAAGACGGGCGAUCCUCCCAAAGAAAGGCGCUGGCUCGCACCAGCGAAGGCGGGGGGUGGAAGCCGAAGCCGAUGUCGUCCGGGAGCUCAUCGAUGACCGGCGCUGGCGCGUACGGCAGGUGCGCGUCCUCGGGAUGGUACGAGGAGUACACCUCUGGUGGCGGAGGAGAAAGGCCGGCGCGAGACGGGGAGUAGGGGGCAUGCGGGGGCUCGGGAGGCGGAGGGGCGUCGACGGAGGCGGCAGAGGAGGAGGGCGAGGAGGGCAUCGGGGUGCUGAGCGCGAGGUCGGAGCCGAGGUCGGAGCGGCGAGACCGCGGGGCGCGGGGGAGGCCGAGGUACAGGUUCAGAUCCAUCCUCCUGCUACUUCCCGCAGCCUCAUCGGCGUCCAUCCGCCGGCGAGGCCCCGCCCCAGCUUCCUCCGGGUAACACCAGGUCGCCUCCUCCCCGCCUUAGCAUGGCAGGGCGGCGCGAGAGGCAAACCCUAUGUCGGGGAGGUGGCGCGGCGCGGGGGGACGGCUCGUCAUGGAUGGGCUUGCCGUGGCGCCCCCUCUCCGGCGCUGUUCCAGAGGAUUGGCUGGCGAGGGCGAGGGCGGCGGCGGUGGCGGUGGAAGGACGCGGCCUCGCCCGGGGUGGAGGGGUCCGGCUGGGCGGAGGCGCGGGUGGGGAUGGGGAGGCGCCGAGGAGGAGAGGGAAAAAGGUAUAGCAGCAAAGCGGUGCGGGGGAGAAUUGCCUUUCUAUUGCCUACCGCGGAAGAACAGCAUGCUGCGUCAGGUUAACAGCUGGUUACAAAACGCUUGA
rnacentral:rRNA from 1 species